UCCGGUUUGGCACCGGCAGUCGGACUAGAGUCCCCGACAUGACUCGCUGGCAACUAGUCCCAAGGGUUGCGCUCGUUGCGGGACUUAACCCAACAUCUCACGACACGAGCUGACGACAGCCAUGCAGCACCUGUGCACGGGCUCCGAAGAGCCCCCCAGGUUUCCCUAGAGGUCCCCGUGCAUGUCAAGCCCAGGUAAGGUUCUUCGCGUUGCGUCGAAUUAAACCACAUGCUCCACCGCUUGUGCGGGCCCCCGUCAAUUCCUUUGAGUUUCAGCCUUGCGGCCGUACUCCCCAGGCGGGGCACUUAAUGCGUUAGCGCCGACCCUCACGGGGUCGCUCCCCCAAGGAUCUAGUGCCCAUCGUUUACGGCGUGGACUAC
rnacentral:misc_RNA from 1 species